AUUGAACGAUGGCGGCAGGCCUAACACAUGCAAGUCGAACGAGUGGCGGACGGGUGAGUAAUGUCUGGGAAACUGCAUGAUGGAGGGGGAUAACUACUGGAAACGGUAGAUAAUACCGCAUAACAUAGGAUGUGCCCAGAUGGGAUGAGCUAGUAGGGGGGGUAAAGGCUAACCUAGGCGACGAUCCCUCGCUGGUCUGAGAGGAUGACCAGCCACAUGGGAACUGAGACACGGUCCAGACUCCUACGGGAGGCAGCAGUGGGGAAUAUUGCACAAUGGGCGCAAGCCUGAUGCAGCCAUGCCGCGUGUAUGAAGAAGGCCUUCGGGUUGUAAAGUACUUUCAGCGGGGAGGCGUUACCCGCAGAAGAAGCACCGGCUAACUCCGUGCCAGCAGCCGCGGUAAUUC
rnacentral:rRNA from 1 species